GAUGAACGCUGGCGGCGUGCUUAACACAUGUAAGUCGAACGAUGAAGCCCAGCUUGCUGGGUGGUUUAGUGGCGAACGGGUGAGUAACACGUGAGUAACCUGCCCUUAACUCUGGGAUAAGCCUGGGAAACUUGGUCUAAUACCGGCUAGGAGCGUCCACUGCAUGGUGGGUGUUGGAAAGAUUUAUCGGUUUUGGAUGGAUUCGCGGCCUCACAGCUUGUUGGUGAGGUAAUGGCUCACCACGGCAACAGCGGGUAGCCCGCCUGGGAGGGUGAACGGCCACACUGGGACUGAGACACGGCCCAGACUCCUACGGGAGGCAGCAGUGGGGAAUAUUGCACAAUGGGCGCAAGCCUGGUGCAGCGACGCCGCGUGAGGGAUGACGGCCUUCGGGUUGUAAACCUCUUUCAGUAGGGAAGAAGCGAAAGUGACGGUACCUGCAGAAGAAGCACCGGCUAACUACGUG
rnacentral:rRNA from 1 species